UUUAUUUGGAGAGUUUGAUCCUGGCUCAGGACGAACGCUGGCGGCGUGCUUAACACAUGCAAGUUGUGCGAGAAAGCUACCUUCGGGUAGUGAGUAGAGCGGCGGACGGGUGAGUAACGCGUGAGUAAUCUACCUUUAAGUUGGGGAUAACUAUUCGAAAGAGUAGCUAAUACCCGAUAUUAUAUCGACAACAUAAGUUGUCGAUAUGAAAGAUGGCUUUGCUAUCGCUUAAAGAUGAGCUCGCGUCCCAUUAGCUAGUUGGUGAGAUAACAGCUUACCAAGGCAACAAUGGGUAGCCGACCUGAGAGGGUGAUCGGCCACACUGGGACUGAGACACGGCCCAGACUCCUACGGGAGGCUGCAGUGGGGAAUCUUCCGCAAUGGGCGAAAGCCUGACGGAGCAACGCCGCGUGAGUGAUGAAGGUCUUCGGAUCGUAAAGCUCUGUCUUUAGGGAAGAACACUUUGGUUGUGAAUAACUGCCAGAGCUGACGGUACCUUUAGAGGAAGCUCCGGCUAACUACGUGCCAGCAGCCGCGGUAAUACGUAGGGAGCAAGCGUUGUCCGGAAUUAUUGGGCGUAAAGGGUGCGUAGGCGGUCUAGUAAGUCAAAUGUGAAAUUCAUCGGCUCAACCGAUGACCUGCCUUUGAAACUACUAGACUUGAGGGUAAGAGAAGAGAUCGGAAUUCCUAGUGUAGCGGUGAAAUGCGUAGAUAUUAGGAAGAAUACCAGUGGCGAAAGCGGAUCUCUGGCUUACACCUGACGCUGAGGCACGAAAGCUGGGGGAGCAAACCGGAUUAGAUACCCGGGUAGUCCCAGCCGUAAACGUUGGACACUAGGUGUUGGAGGUUCGACUCCUUCGGUGCCGCAGUUAACGCAAUAAGUGUCCCGCCUGGGGAUUACGACCGCAAGGUUGAAACUCAAAGGAAUUGACGGGGGCCCGCACAAGCGGCGGAGCAUGUGGUUUAAUUCGAAGCAACGCGAAGAACCUUACCAGGGCUUGACAUCCCGUGACUAUCUGUGAAGAACAGAGUCUAGCCUUUUGGCUACACGGAGACAGGUGGUGCAU
rnacentral:rRNA from 1 species